rnacentral:rRNA from 1 species
ACGCUGGCGGCACGCCUAAACAUGCAAGUCGAACGAAGUAGCAAUACUUAGUGGCAGACGGGUGAGUAACAUGUGGGUAUCUACCCUUUGGCCUGGAAUAACACGAGGAAACUUGUGCUAAUACCGGAUAAGUCUUUACGGAGAAAGCUUUAUGCACCAUUGGAUGAGCCCGCACUUGAUUAGUUUGUUGGUAGGGUAAUGGCCUACCAAGACUAUGAUCAAUAGCUGAUUUGAGAGGAUGAUCAGCCACAUUGGGACUGAGACACGGCCCAAACUCCUACGGGAGGCAGCAGUGGGGAAUCUUGCACAAUGGAGGAAACUCUGAUGCAGCGAUGCCGCGUGAGUGAAGAAGGCCUUUGGGUUGUAAAGCUCUUUCGUCGGGGAAGAAAAUGACUGUACCCGAAUAAGAAGGU